GAUGAACGCUGGCGGCGUGCCUAAUACAUGCAAGUCGAGCGAACGGACGAGAAGCUUGCUUCUCUGAUGUUAGCGGCGGACGGGUGAGUAACACGUGGAUAACCUACCUAUAAGACUGGGAUAACUUCGGGAAACCGGAGCUAAUACCGGAUAAUAUUUUGAACCGCAUGGUUCAAAAGUGAAAGACGGUCUUGCUGUCACUUAUAGAUGGAUCCGCGCUGCAUUAGCUAGUUGGUAAGGUAACGGCUUACCAAGGCAACGAUGCAUAGCCGACCUGAGAGGGUGAUCGGCCACACUGGAACCGAGACACGGUCCAGACUCCUACGGGAGGCAGCAGUAGGGAAUCUUCCGCAAUGGGCGAAAGCCUGACGGAGCAACGCCGCGUGAGUGAUGAAGGUCUUCGGAUCGUAAAACUCUGUUAUUAGGGAAGAACAUAUGUGUAAGUAACUGUGCACAUCUUGACGGUACCUAAUCAGAAAGCCACGGCUAACUACGUGCCAGCAGCCGCGGUAAUACGUAGGUGGCAAGCGUUAUCCGGAAUUAUUGGGCGUAAAGCGCGCGUAGGCGGUUUUUUAAGUCUGAUGUGAAAGCCCACGGCUCAACCGUGGAGGGUCAUUGGAAACUGGAAAACUUGAGUGCAGAAGAGGAAAGUGGAAUUCCAUGUGUAGCGGUGAAAUGCGCAGAGAUAUGGAGGAACACCAGUGGCGAAGGCGACUUUCUGGUCUGUAACUGACGCUGAUGUGCGAAAGCGUGGGGAUCAAACAGGAUUAGAUACCCUGGUAGUCCACGCCGUAAACGAUGAGUGCUAAGUGUUAGGGGGUUUCCGCCCCUUAGUGCUGCAGCUAACGCAUUAAGCACUCCGCCUGGGGAGUACGACCGCAAGGUUGAAACUCAAAGGAAUUGACGGGGACCCGCACAAGCGGUGGAGCAUGUGGUUUAAUUCGAAGCAACGCGAAGAACCUUACCAAAUCUUGACAUCCUUUGACAACUCUAGAGAUAGAGCCUUCCCCUUCGGGGGACAAAGUGACAGGUGGUGCAUGGUUGUCGUCAGCUCGUGUCGUGAGAUGUUGGGUUAAGUCCCGCAACGAGCGCAACCCUUAAGCUUAGUUGCCAUCAUUAAGUUGGGCACUCUAAGUUGACUGCCGGUGACAAACCGGAGGAAGGUGGGGAUGACGUCAAAUCAUCAUGCCCCUUAUGAUUUGGGCUACACACGUGCUACAAUGGACAAUACAAAGGGCAGCGAAACCGCGAGGUCAAGCAAAUCCCAUAAAGUUGUUCUCAGUUCGGAUUGUAGUCUGCAACUCGACUACAUGAAGCUGGAAUCGCUAGUAAUCGUAGAUCAGCAUGCUACGGUGAAUACGUUCCCGGGUCU
rnacentral:rRNA from 1 species